UACGUAGGGUCCAAGCGUUAUCCGGAAUCACUGGGCGUAAAGCGUGCGUAGGUGGCGUGUUAAGUGUGAUGUUAAAUCGUGUGGCUCAACCAUAUCGAUGUGUCGCAUACUGGCAUGCUAGAGGGAAGCAGAGGCAAGUGGAAUUUGUAGUGUAGCAGUGAAAUGCGUAGAUAUUACAAGGAACACCAAUGGCGAAGGCAGCUUGCUGGGCUUCUUCUGACACUGAGGUACGAAAGGCGUGGGGAGCGAACAGG
rnacentral:rRNA from 1 species